rnacentral:rRNA from 1 species
AGCGAACGCUGGCGGCAGGCUUAACACAUGCAAGUCGAACGGGCUUCUUCGGAAGUCAGUGGCAGACGGGUGAGUAACACGUGGGAACGUGCCCUUCGGUUCGGAAUAACUCAGGGAAACUUGAGCUAAUACCGGAUACGCCCUUAUGGGGAAAGGUUUACUGCCGAAGGAUCGGCCGGCGUCUGAUUCGCUUGUUGGUGGGGUAACGGCCUACCAAGGCGACGAUCAGUAGCUGGUCUGAGAGGAUGAUCAGCCACACCGAGGCUAAGACACGGCCCAGAAUCCUACGGGAGGCGGGAGAGGGGGACAUUGGAACGUGGGGGCAGGCCUGAUCCAGCCAUGCCGGGUAAGUGAUGAAGGCCUUAGGGUUGUAAAGCGCUUUUGUCCGGGACGAUAAUGACGGUACCGGAAGAAUAAGCCCCGGCUAACUUCGUG